rnacentral:rRNA from 1 species
CCCUUAGAUGUCCGGGGCCGCACGCGCGCUACAAUGGAUGAAUCAACGCGUCAUCCUGGCCCGAAAGGGUUGGGGAACCGCUGAACCUCAUCCGUGGUUGGGAUUGGGGUUUGUAAUUAUUCCCCAUGAACUAGGAAUUCCCAGUAAGCGCGAGUCAUAAGCUCGCGUUGAUUACGUCCCUGCCCUUUGUACACACCGCCCGUCGCUACUACCGAUUGGGUGAUCCGGUGAGGCUCUGGGACCUGGACGGAAAGAGCGUUUCGCUUGUUCUGUUUGGGAAACUUGGUCGAACCUUAUCAUUUAGAGGAAGGAGAAGUCGUAACA